CCUACGGGUGGCUGCAGUGAGGAAUAUUGGUCAAUGGACGAGAGUCUGAACCAGCCAAGUAGCGUGAAGGAUGACUGCCCUAUGGGUUGUAAACUUCUUUUAUAUGGGAAUAAAAUGUUCCACGUUUGGGAUUUUGUAUGUACCAUAUGCAUAAGGAUCGGCUAACUCCGUGCCAGCAGCCGCGGUAAUACGGAGGAUCCGAGCGUUAUCCGGAUUUAUUGGGUUUAAAGGGAGCGUAGGUGGAUUGUUAAGUCAGUUGUGAAAGUUUGCGGCUCAACCGGAAAAUUGCAGUUGAAACUGGCAGUCUUGAGUACAGUAGAGGUGGGCGGAAUUCGUGGUGUAGCGGUGAAAUGCUUAGAUAUCACGAAGAACUCCGGUUGCGAAGGCAGUUCACUGGACUGCAACUGACACUGAGGCUCGAAAGUGUGGGUAUCAAACAGGAUUAGAUACCCCAGUAGUC
rnacentral:rRNA from 1 species